UACAGAGGUCUCAAGCGUUGUUCGGAUUUACUGGGCGUAAAGGGCGCGUAGGCGGUCAGCACAAGUCAGUUGUGAAAUCUCCGGGCUUAACUCGGAAAGGUCAACUGAUACUGUGCGACUAGAGUGCAGAAGGGGCAACUGGAAUUCUCGGUGUAGCGGUGAAAUGCGUAGAUAUCGAGAGGAACACCUGCGGCGAAGGCGGGUUGCUGGGCUGACACUGACGCUGAUGCGCGAAAGCCAGGGGAGCGAACGGG
rnacentral:rRNA from 1 species